AACGAACGCUGGCGGCAUGCCUAACACAUGCAAGUCGAACGAGACCUUCGGGUCUAGUGGCGCACGGGUGCGUAACGCGUGGGAAUCUGCCCUUGGGUUCGGAAUAACAGUUAGAAAUGACUGCUAAUACCGGAUAAUGUCUUCGGACCAAAGAUUUAUCGCCCAGGGAUGAGCCCGCGUAGGAUUAGCUAGUUGGUGAGGUAAAGGCUCACCAAGGCGACGAUCCUUAGCUGGUCUGAGAGGAUGAUCAGCCACACUGGGACUGAGACACGG
rnacentral:rRNA from 1 species